UACGGAGGGUGCGAGCGUUGUCCGGAAUCACUGGGCGUAAAGGGCGCGUAGGCGGCCCGCGCAAGCGUGCGGUGAAAGCCCGGGGCUCAACCCCGGGUCGGCCGUGCGGACUGCGGGGCUGGAGCACUGUAGGGGCAGAUGGAAUUCCGGGUGUAGCGGUGGAAUGCGUAGAGAUCCGGAAGAACACCGGUGGCGAAGGCGGUCUGCUGGGCAGUAGCUGACGCUGAGGCGCGACAGCGUGGGGAGCAAACAGG
rnacentral:rRNA from 1 species